CUCGUCUAUCAAGACUAUGUCAUCAGCAAAUAGCAUACACCAAGGCACAUUCCCAUGAAUAUGUCGGGUAAGAGCAUCCAUCACAAGGCAAACAAGAGGGGGCUAAGCGUCGAUCCUUGAUGGAGCCCCAUAACCACUGGAAAAUGGUCUGACUCGCCACCCACCGUCCUAACCCUGGACUUACCUCCAUUGUACAUGUCC
rnacentral:lncRNA from 1 species